rnacentral:lncRNA from 1 species
CCACCUUUACUUGAUACCGGAAUACGAGACUCCACUUCCUGCACUUUUCCAAUGACCGCAAUCCGUGCUCGCGACAACUUAAGCUCAAAAGAGGUUUCCUUCGCUAGCUCGCCGUAGGCUCGUCGGAACGUCGAUUCGAGCUUUCCAACGCGUUCGCUUUACCCUCAGUUAGGUUUGUACACGAUCAACUUUAAGCUAGGCUUUUGAACCUGCAAGUUAGCAUUAUUGAGCUUAGGGUUCUAUAUAAACUUUCCUCUAGUUUUCAUGGCAGCACACUCUUUAGUAUUCACUAAACUCAAGCCUUAACCAGGAAUUAUAGGUUAAUUCACCUUAAUUCCCCAAAGACCUGCAAUUAGGGAAUUGAAGAAAUUUACAUCAAUCCCUAAUCAAAAUCUUGCAUAAGAGUUAAUUUUGACUCCUAGCUGCCAAAGUCAGUACAUACUACAUAUAGCUUUAGUUCUAGGUUUCCAUGACACAAUACUAUAGUAGCCCAAUAACUAAAGCUAAACUCUCUUUUAGAUUAACUAAAUCAACCUUAUCAAAGGAAUAUAUCAAUUCUACUAAAAUCUGCAUGAUACUUCCUUAAUUCCCAAUUAUCAAAGUGUACCUAUAGUAUUAGUACACCUGAAGCCUUUUCCAGGUUAUAUAGCAAAAGCCAAUUUCAGAUUUUCAGAAUUCCAAUAAUUCUAGAACACUAUUUCGCAACUUACCAUUAGGGAAUUGAAGAAAUUCACCUCACUCCUUAAUAUAAAUUAGCUGAAUAUCUUACUUUAAUUCUCAGCAAUUCCAAAUCACACAUAAUACCUGUCACAGCCCGCGACCACUCGCCUAUUUGGCCGAGGUCGCGGCGCCGACAGCGCCGAACGGACAAGGUUUCCCUUGUACUGCGGACAGAGUCUCCCCUGUACGUUCAAGGCAUCGCAAUCAAUACAAUACGAAUGUUCCAACCAGGAACUGAUAUCAAUCAAGAUUGCAUAAUGGAAGGUAUCAAACAACAUAAACACAUCCUAUGUUAUUGCUUGGAUCACAUUAAUUGUAUCCAGCUUAUACUUGGAUCCUAACUCUUGGAUCCUACUUAUUCUAACUACAACUUGGAUCACAGCACUUGGAUCCGAUCUAGCUCACCGUAAUUGGAUCGCAAUACUUGUAUCCAACUGUAACUAAGAUCACAACAACUUGGAUCCCAAUUAUUUUUGGAUCCAUCUCUCCAUAAUUGGAUCAAAUUUCUUGUAACCAAUACAUUAUUCCCGCAAUUUGGAUCUCAGCCCAUCUGGAUCCUACCUUUCACGUAACCUGGAUCUAUCCAGCUAUAGUAUCCCAAACUCUAAUGGGAUCUCCGAACCCUUUAUCUAAGGCCUUAGAAUCCUAACACUUGAGCUGUCAAGAUCUCGUCACCCAACUCACACUGUCCAAGGGGAGGGUGACCUGCUUGAAGCUCCUACUCGACAACUGACUUAGCUCCGGCGCCCAGCUCACACCGUCCAAGGGGGAGGGCGGCCGUCUUAGCACGAAGCGAUCCCAACUCACACCGUACAAGGGGAAGGGAUAGCCCCCAGAACCCGGCGCCCAACUCAAACACCGUAUUAGGGGAAGGGUGGCCUUUCUAGGGACUGGUGCCCACAUGCGUCGAGACCCGCUGGGCAACCCGCUGAACUAAUACCUAACUUCCGAUUCCACAUUCACUCUCCAGGAAGUGGAACUCGGCCUGUCUCGCGCCUGAUAGGCGUCUACUAACUGAGUUCUGGCUCAGCCCACCGUAUCACACUAAUUCCAUUCUCGUUGGAAUUCUUUCUUAAACGGUUACUCAUAUCACCCGGGUUCACAUUCCACAUCUCGUGGUUCAUGUUCAUGUUUCUUAUUUCUCGUUUCUUCCUUUUUCUUUUACUUUCUAUUACUUUUCCGAUUACGAUUCCUUAUCGAUCAUUAACGUCCUUUACUUACCAUCGUUUAUCGAUUUUACAUUUCUGUUCGUUUCUCGAAAAACUAUCAACGUAUAACGUAAAGCACUCCGUACAAUAGACAAUCAACGUAUAAUUGUAAAACUAUAUAUAGAUAUCUACAAAAACCUGAUUGUACUAACGUCACGGAGGAACCUGGAAAACCAGCUCGAAAAGGGAACCCACCGGCAUGGGUGACCCUUGAUAGAAAUAUAUCAAGAGUGGGGGCACAACGAAACCCCCAUGUCCAAGCGUGCACUCGCCGCGCCGCCGCGCUCCUUUCCCGCAUCGAGGUAUCUAUCGCGGGAUGGGUCUCUGGUCUCGAUCGCCAUGGGGCAGCUGCACCGAUCCCCAUAUCUUUUACUUUUCUUUGUUACAUAGUUAAACAUUUAUUUUAACAUUUUUGAUCUAACGUAAACCUAUUUUUUUUUUCUCUUACAUAUUUCUUGACACUACAUUUUUAGACACUUACACUUACGCACANCACACAUAAUACCAAUAGCUCUUUUAUAGAAUUUUAUGUCAAAUUCAACUCUAGGGUUUAAGAAAUUCAGCUAAUUCUCUUUGUAAAGUAAUUACAAUAGGUUAUAACCAGGAAUUAGCAACCCUUAUUUUAGUUUUCCCACUACUUCACUAGCUGGUUACUUCCAGCACAUCACUCCCUCACAUCCUACCUACAGAGUCAUCCAACUCCAACCUUCAACACUUCAAACCGAGUAGUACUAAGGGAUAUCCUUCGAAUCUGGAUUAAGAGAUUAGCAAAACCUCACCUUAGAUGUAUGCUCUCCAUCAGCUUACCUUGUUCGCGAAUUCCCUAGCAGCCAAGAGCCUCGACUCCACCUUUUUCUUAAUCGCAAUCCCUUACCGUAGUGUAAGGUACCGGACUUCUAAAACUACGAAGUUACGGUAUACAUUUAAAUGGUUCCGGUGAGGUUGCGGUGGAAUGUAACAUAUCGAAUUUUAAAUAUAAAGUGAAAAUAAAUAAAAAUAGUAUGAGAUACUAUUUUUAUUGGGUUUAGAGAAGUGAAAUAUAGAUUAAAAAUGACCUGUGCUGAGAUCAGAGCGAAAACAGAAGAUUUAGAAUUUUCUGUUGGAAACGGGACAGAUAAAUUAGUAGAAAAUGUACAGUCUCAGAAAAUUAUGAAAAUUGGCGGGGAUGUCAGUAAUAUUUAAUGAGACUAAAUUUAAAGUUUCAUAUUUUUCUGACACCCGUAGAGUGAGAAAUAAAAUCCGAAGUCUAUCUGAUAAAGAUUGCAGUUCGGCACAGUUUUCGGUCACCAAACGGGGUCGAAACUGAAAACUUAAGAUAUAUUCUUGUUCAGUACAUUAAACCGAACAUGACUGU